rnacentral:lncRNA from 1 species
CUUGUAGAUUGGGACAAGGACAAAAGCCACUCAGCCUACUGUGCAUGUGAAGUACAGAAUAGAUGGAUUAGGUUUCAGUAAAAUUGAAAUCAUUCAUAAAUUACCUCUCACAAUUCCUCAUUAGCCAUGUUCACAUGUGCAAAUUUUUUUUUAUUUGAUUAAAAAUUUGAGGGAUUGGGUAAUCUGAAUCCACUGUUUAUAUGGGUGCAAAAUCAAAUAAUCUGAUCAUGACGUGCAUAUACAUGCACAAAGUUUUAUUUAGAUUAGAAGCAUUUGGACAUGCGCAGAGUUGUCUGAUUUUACUAAAACAACUGUAGAAGAAGAGUUGUAUUGACGCCUGUGCUGUCAACAAACCAACAAACGUGGUAGUGCCUCACUUCAUCCAAUUCAGGAUUUCCCCCCCUGUUAAAUGUUGUUACUAGAUGGCACCCUUGCUCAUUAUUUUACUGUUCUGUCAAAGGUUGCACUGUGUGUGCAGAUGUGACAUCAUUACGCUGUAUGUACACCUUAUGUUACUGGAGGAGCAGACACGGUACUUGUGGUUGUGUUUCAUGCCAGAGUGUAAUUAAUGAAACCUCCUGAACUGGUCUCAAUAAAUAAGCCAAAAGAGUGAAGACCGAGUCAGAAUUGAAUCAGCAUCUUUCGAUCAACAUGUUUACAUGACGCAUAUUCAUUCUGACCGGGCAUUUAUUUUGAUUAUUUGUGCCCAUGUAAAUGCAGCUAGUGUUGGUAAAAAAAAGCUAAUGAUCUCUAGAUGUUAAAAAUUAUUUUUAGAGAAUUGUGAGGAAUUCAUUUUUAUGGUUCUUACCAAAGUAGACUUCAGCUCAAAAACCCUUUGAAUAAAGUUGUUUUGUCUCUCUGUCUAUUUAAGUCCUCCUUUUUUUCUUAAAGAGCUGAUGUGUAAAAAUAACACAGAAGUGAUGAACAAUGUGACACUUACUGAAGUAGAAGUCCUGAAUGUUCAGUCAUAGGCUGUGAAAGGCAGAUCAAGUUGAGUACUAGUAGUUCUCUGGCUGACUCAACCAGGCAUGCUGUGUAUUAUCAGUGACCUUCAAAACACCUCAAACCUACAUGAGACUAUCCUGGAUCAGGUGAACCCCAUCCACUCCCACUGCUGAUGUCUGUGAAUUUAUGACCUUUCAUGAAACCUUUUCAGUAGGUCUGCUUUGCCCCCAGGUCAUGAAACCUGUUAGUCUAGAUGAGCUGAUAUUUCAGGGUACUGACAGAACAUGGCACUAUUAUUUGUAAAGGGGACAUUCUCCCUCUCUUUUUAGGCAUCAGGGUCCUCAUCUUCAGCCAUCCUUCAGCUGGGUGAUGCAAAGCUUAAUCACAGCUUCUGAGAUUGUCAGGAUCACUACUCACUGCUGCUCAUCACUGCUUCUCUUCAGCUGUCUCAUGUCACUCAGAGCUUCAAAAUGCAGCUGUUUAGCUUGCGUGUAUUUUAAUAACAGCACUCUGCCAGUCUGCCUCUUAAAAGCUAUCAUAGAAGAAGUGUCUUGCAUCUUAAAACAAGACGGACACAUUCUGAAACGAUUUAACGCCAGUCCUUUUUCUUUCUUGAUUUGUAGUAAGAUCUCGUUCUAGUAUCCAGUAAGAUGGAAAUAAUGAGGUCAACACAGAAGAGAGAGCAGUAUGAAGUUGCAUGUAAUGCUUUGUAAGGGCAGAUCCAGAGCAGUGGCCAGGCAUGGGGUGAACCCCCUUUAAAAUCUGACUGGCCAUCUCAGCUAAUAUGAUACAACACUGGCUGUCUGUUGCAUUACCUUAUGGGCAAAAACAUAAACAGGAGUAUAUCAUCCAUUGGGUACUUAACUGAAAGUUGUCAAAGUAGAUGUCCUAAGUGGAGACAGAAACAAACUUUGCCACCCUGGCACAUGUCAGUGACACAGCCAAAAGCCUUUCAAUCUGUCCCUGAUCCAUGGCCUUUGACAUCCAUUACAACUAUUUGUGACCUGGGACCAGAUGUCAGAAAACAACAUGCCUCCUAUCUGCUGUGCUAUGGGCUGAAAAAGUAGCGUAAACAAGCCUGGACUGACCUUUGAUGCAGUUUUGUGGCAGACCUCUCCUUAAUGCAGUUAGCCAUAAGAACAAGCCCAGCCAUCCACUCUAAGACCAAGGGUGUGUAGGGGUUACAUUGAGGGUUUGUCGAUAUUCCAAGUUAAACCAACACACAGGUUAUACAGCAUUACUGAAAGGAGAACUUGAGUAUUUGGGCCCUGGGCCCUAUUUUCCCAUGUUUUUGUUCCGGCUUGACAGAACGACACUUCUCCACUGGCGAGACUUGGUUGAACACAGACAGGCAUGAGUAGUAAGUAAAGGAAACCCUUGUCGUUCCAUUCUCAGAAUGUGUUAAAACAAUUUCAGCUUGCCAAUGUGGAAAUAAAGCACAUGUAGUUGAUAAAGUUCAAUGAUGCGAUUGCCCGCUCAAACUAUAUUUUAGCUGGUUUGUGGCAGCUGGCUGCUCCACCCUAUCUUCAUACUGGACCAGUUUUAGAAACUCUUGACAUGUUUACCUUCUAACAUUUAUGGUACCGUGAUCACAUGCGUAGAUUACUUAGCAAACUAUACUAUAGCAAACUAUAUUCUUCUAUAUAAAGAAAAUGGGAUGUGUGUACACAUUUAUCGAACACUUCUGCAGAUGAGGGUCUUGUAUAAAAAUCAGACAUAUUGCAUAGUUUGAUGGUUUCAUUCAAUUCUGUUCUGCAGUUUCAGUUGUGUGUUUUCUGUAUAGCUAUACUAAGUGGAUCAGGGAGCAGAAAGGGUAAAAAUAAGUGGAAACAGUGGUGCACUGGUUCAAAAAAGGAGGCAAAUCAAUAAGAAUAAAAUGUCACAUGCAUCCAAACACAUUAGUGCACAUUAGGGCAGUUUGGUAUGGCAUGUUUGUUGCGUGUCUGCAUGUCAUGGUAACCAUGCGAAUCCCAGUUGAAGCCUAAAUGUAGUGGAAAGAUGCUAGGAAUACACAGAGUGUAUUUCUUGCAUGAACUUCUAAUUUUGUGCUUGGGUGAGCAUGUCUGGAGGUGGAGAUUUGAGUGUGUGUGUGUGUGUGUGUGUGUGUGUGUGUGUGUGUGUGUGUGUGUGUGUGUGUGUGUGUGUGUGUGUGUGUGUGUGCAUCCCUGAGAGCCAAACUACCACUUGCAGAAAGAGUUGGAUGUUUUGUGAUACAGAAAUGGCAGCACAGCGGUAAGUGUUGGUUAACUCACACUCCUUGCUGCGUUAGACACACACACACACACACACACAAAUACACACACAUUUAUUCCCUCACAAAAAACACAGUUUUCUUUUCACACCCAUCCUUGACAUGAACCUAUCUGACCCGGCCACACACAUACCUAAACACACAAAACACAGCACACAUUGGAUGAAACAUGUAUUUAUAUCCCCAAAGGGGAGUAAAAAAGGAUGAAACAACACACUCUCAAUGUCUCUUUUUCAUUUUGACACACACUGAAAACACACACCUCUUCUCUUACCUCCUGAAGUGUAGACAUUCACACCCUUUGGUGACUCUGACAACAAGGCUCAUCUAUUAUCACACACUAACACACAUAUGUUGUACACAAACACACACACACAAGAGAGGGGGGAAAAUAAUGACCAGUGUGUGUGUAUGUGUGUGUGAGCGAGUGUGUGCGCCCGUGUGCACAUGGGUGCAAACAGCAUGCGCAUUCCUGGAGCCGCUGACCCGGGCUCUGUGGGUAACCAUGACAACCACUGCUUCACCAUGGAGACGACCGUUACUUCCUUUACUCACCCUCUUUUCCCUUCCUUUCUUGCCCCCCCCCCCCCCCCCCCAGUGCCUCUCUGCGCUCACCAGUGAAAUCAGUCGAUCCUCUCAACACAACCCAGGUGGACUCUUCAUCACUCUGUUGCUUCCACUUUCCAUCCUUUGUUAGUCGCUUAUUCCUCUGAGCUAUGGAGCUUCAUUAUUGAUCCAAACACAUCAAUGAGCCACUGUUGCACUGGGUGACAUUUUCCUUCAUUACCAUGACUAUGAAUGUAGUUAAUUUUGAGUCAAUCCCACAUCCACUGUCCUGCUGCUGGAAAUACACACCAGAGCUCUCAAUGGCAACCGUACAUCCCUAACACAUAUGCAUUAUUUAUUCUUACCUGAGUAAAGUUGGUGAAAACUAAUGCCACCAGCUAUUUAAAAGUUCACAUAUCAGGCUCCUGGUUUUAAACUGGAUGCACAGACAGGAUGAUAAUGAGAAGAGUUAAACAUCAUCAUUUGUUUCUGGUCCUUUUAUGGAAUUUUUUUUAGAAAGAAGAAAACACUUCAUUCUAGCUUGUGGUGGAUGUUGAUACUGGCAAUAAGAAAGCAGGUCAACCAAUGGCCAGUGACAGGUUUUUUAUUUUUUGAUCUUUUUUUUUUUAAUUUUUAAUGUUUUUCUGCAUUUGGUAAGGUACAAAGAUGUCAUAGUUAUAAUAAGUAAAAACUAAAAUGGCUGAUUUAAAUGAACUUUUAGUUAUCAGCUAUCCCUGCUGGUAGCUCAAUAACAUAUUGCUACCAAGGACUUCAAGGAUUAAGCUGAACAAUCAAAUUUGAUUAAAAUACAAGAAAUAUAAAAGUCAAAAACAGUUCCAUUAUGCCAUGCACACUCAUAUACAUGGUUAUCUUGGCCACAAACACUUUUUCGUUCAAUUUGUAAUUAAUCCGUGAAAUAAAAACACAAGGAUUUUACAGAUAAAGAUUUUAGAACAUGACUGAGCAAACUGCAUUGUUACAUUCAACACCAGAAACACUUGUUAGUAGGUGUUCUAGAUUUAAUAUGCCAUUAUUUCAGGAAAUGUACAUUCUCAUUUAGAAAAGACAACAAUGAUUGGAAAAAAAAUGGAUGCAAACAUUUAUAUCGAGAUGCACAAGAGUUAGGCUAUAGUUAAGGCAGAGGUCUCAACUGCAUUUUCACUGCAGCAGUCUGCAGACUGACAAGGCUGCCUGCAGUGUCUGCAGACAUAAUCUGUGUAUGUGCUUCACCAACAUGAUGCCGAUUAUAUCAAAAUGCCAUUUACUGAGGGUGCGGGUUCAAUUUAGUUGGUGGGACAUGUGCCUCAUGUACUGAGGCAACAGUCCACAUCGCACUGGUCCUACCAUCAAUUCCUGGACAUGGUUUGGUGCAUGUCAUUCUCCACACUUAAUUCCUGUCUCUCCAAAGCAGUCCUGACUAAUAAAUGUCAAAAGCAAUAAGAUAAAAAAAAAACAUAAAUUGGUUCACCUUAAUAGUCUUAGGUUGCCAGCUUUGGGUUCAUCUUAAUUUGUGCAAAACUUCAGUUCUGUACUGUGUUUUCCUGCAGAUAGUUCCUUUUUGGACAGGUUUUUAGCAGAAAAGCACAAGAGCUGGAGAGAGGCCAUGUUUAACCUGUAUGUACUUGUGACACAUAUCUAAGCUUUGGCUUUAUUAGCAGAACCAGAUAAAAACCCGAGGUGACAUUUUCACAUCACACUCAGCAAACACUUGAAUGCCUCAGUCUGGCAUCAUUCUUCUGACCUAGAGGAAACUACAGGGACUGGGUUGAAAAGGAAAGAUCAGACACCGGUGAGUCUUGCUUUUUCCCUUUUGUUAAGAGAGCAGCAUGCUAUGUUACUUUGUGUAAGUCAACAUAUUUUUCCACCAGUGAUCAUAGCUGACAUUCAGGGUGAGUUCACAGCUCCAUAUUCAGUGUGAUUUUGCUGUGCAAUUCUUUUUAGCCUCAGUGGUUGAUAAAGGUUGAGAAAAGUGUAUGUUUUUUUACUGUGUUUUGUAACUCCUACAGACAAUAUCCAAUUAAUUUUGAUCAAAUAUCCAACAACCUAUGAGCUAACGGCUUGCUAAUUAUCUAGCCCACUUGUUAGCUUGUUACCUUACCUCACUUAAUUACAGGGCAAAAACUUCACAUAUUUAAAUCCAAAGCAAUACGUCCGGUGAACUUCUCUCCCUGUAUGCAUAUUAUGAUUUUUGUGGAACAGAUUUUGCUCACAGAGAGGACAGGGUCAGUAAAAGUGUAGAAAUAAGAUGAGAGACAUCCUAUGUUUUUGGGCUCUUUUGCUUUCCUUUCCCCUAAAGGUCAGCACUGUCGGCUUGGCUUGCUAUGGCCAGUUGUGCAAAUUUGUGUCAGGUUAAAUCAAACUCUUGGUGGAACAGUGUUGGGGUCUUAUUUUCCUCUUGUGAGCAAAUCUUCUAAAUUAGGCUAUAAUGUUGAAAUGAAGUAAUUUUGCAACUAAAUUUCACAUUUAAAAUUGUGGUUUGUUCAGCCACCGUGUAUAAUCUUGUUUUUUAAAUGCAGAUAUUGGCAAUAUUAUCAAACCCCUGACCUCCAGCUUGAUAGACUACCCUCUGCCCCUAAGUGCAUUUGAAGUCCCUGGGAUUGGUGCAGCUGCAAACUUUAAACCAACUGCACUUCAUGACCUAGAAGUGAAAACUUUACAUAACCAUGGUUACAUGUCAAAAAAAUUAUUGUUAUCGCUGUUUACAUUUAGCAGACUCACAAAAAUCCCUCGAGCGAAUGAGAAAUAUUCCCAAUCUUGUUAGGUGGCUCUUCUUUUUGUAGAGAUGUUAUCAUUUUGUGAGGGUGAAACAGCUCAGUCCACCAGAUUUUGGAUGGUACUCAUUGUGGACUCUUGAUGGGAACAUGCAAAUGUCAGGGAAGUGUACAGGAAGGGGGUAUAGGGGGCAGUUUCAAAAAGGCCCUUCGUCUCUUUGUUUUAUCUCUUCUGUUCAUUUUGUCUUUGUUCCCUGGUGAUUUCCAGUGACUUUUCCUUUGUUGGGCUAUUUUUGUUUUAUUUUACAUUUUUAUUCUCAGUCCAGUUUAAAUAUAUUGAGUCCACAUUUUGGGUCCUCAUCUUUUGUUAAAGAUAACACAUUAUAAAUAAUGUAAAAACAAAACUUAAAUUCAAGCAAUUACUCACUUUUUUUCUGCUUAAUGCCGCUAAAUGCUCCCCACUUUACUGUUAAUCUUGGUGCAGAAGGCAUGCUAGCUUCCCUGUCCUACAUCUUGUCCUGAAACAACCCCCAGCUGCAGUUAUUUUUGUCACUCAGUCUGAUAAAAGUCAACAGCUAUAGCUGAGAUUUCACAGUUACAUGUUGACUGUAGCUUCAACCCUCAUAAUCAUUUGAUUCAAUAUAAAAAUAAAGCAUGUUUAGCUAAAGUAGAGUUCCCCUCUCUCAUUGUGAUACUUCAGAAGUCUGGCAUUAUACAACACCGAUAGCCACACAUUAUUGAGGCUUAAUGCUGAAAAUCUUGAUAUCCAUUAUAUGCAAUCAAAAAGUAUUCUCACUUCAUUUAAAAUUCUAUUAACUUACAAUAAAAUCUGAAUAUUUUGAGACUGCCUAAGAAGUGACAGCAGCACUGUAAACACUGCCUGACAGAGGGGAAUAUCAGGUACACUGUUUAAGGGCAUGUUGUGGAUUUCCCACAUCUUUGUGCACACUUACACAAGUCCACCCACACUGAAGUGUCACUACACCCUGAAUCAUUGCCUCCUGGCCUGUACACAUUAAGGUGACUGAUCUGAGUUUUGUGGGUGGUAAAGUCUGACCUUCACUUUGUGAUGUUUCAGACAGGAGAUCCUGUAGGUCUGUGAAAGUACAGACAGGACAGACUGUAGAGACCCUCUUAUCAUCAUAUCUUUAUCAGCAGAAUCAUCCUCUACAAACGUUCGAUGAAUGAAUAGUAUGAGGUCUUUCCUCAGCUGUCCCCUAAAUUGAAUCGGUAAGAAGAGUGAUGAGUUUCUCCUUUGUGUGACUCUGGAGGUUAACACCUCCUCUCUUCACCUGCUGCUCGCUCUGCUUUCAAAAAGUCAAUUUUUCUGAAAUUUAGAAAGGCAGGCUCAUUGUAAGAUUGAUGACAAAGAGUCUUUGAAAUCUUAUUACGGAUACUGAAUGGAUUUUGCAGCCUCGGGGUCAGAAAAGUUGCACUACCAAUAAAACACCAUAUAAAAAAAAACUCUAGAUCGAAGAAAAGCCUGAAAAUCUGAAAUGUGAAUUUUUUUUUCCCACUUCAGCAGCAUUCACCACAUUUUACUCCUGUUGAAGAAAGGAAAAACUUAAAAAAAAAUCUUAGUAAUUUUUUCUUCUUUUUUAUGUGGCAGUACUCCUCAAGACUUUGGAUUCAAGGUUGAUGCUGCAGCUUUAAACACACUUAUUAACAAAACACAUUAACAUACGGUGAACUAUGGGAGAUAGGGUCUUCUGUGCUGCCGCCCCACACCUUUGGAAUGCCUUCCCCGACACCUUGAGGGCACCACAACCCACUUACAGUUUUAAAAAAGGACUCAAAACAUUUCUUUUUAGCAGAACUUUUGGUCACUCCUC